UCGGAUAUGGUGUACGGUACACGGCCUCUCGAUUUGAAAUGAAAGCCAGCGAUUCCGGAGGCAGCCCGGGGUUCGACUCCCCGUGUCCGAA